rnacentral:lncRNA from 1 species
GGAAGCUGUGGCCAAGAAUGGAUAACAACCACAUUUUAUUCGGACACCAAAGCAAGUUGCAAUCUGAAUUGCAACCACACCUUGCAAUGGCGCCAACACAUGCAACAGAAACAGAAUUUGCACUUGGUAUGUUUAUUUCCGUUGCUCUUAAAAAUGCAAACCCACGCUAGAGCCCAUGCCAAAGACAGCUGGAACAAAUUGCAUCACCUGGAUUUUGGGGUUUGUAAUAGCUAGCCUAUGUUGGUGUGCAAAUUGGCCAGUUGUAUGCUAUUUUAAACCCUUCCUGCUCCCUUUCCCAUUUUGUGCCAAGGGCACACAAAGCUGCCCAGAAGGAAGGAAUUCAAUCAGCAUCAGAAGAAUGCAUUGAAGUCCUGUUUCCUAAACCCCAGGGGAGAGCUGAGUGGGAGGGAAGGACCCAGCUAGCUAAGGACAGAGUCCUUUUUAUGUGUCUGUUUCCCCAAGCAGAAUGCUGGGCCCAACUGAUGAAUGUUAGUGGGAGGGAACAAUGGAAGAGGGUGGCUGGAUGGCAAUGAGAGGCCUGGGAAGGGCCUGGGGAUGAGGAGGGGGUGGAAGCACUUCCUGAGGAUCCAUCCAGGCCCAGAGUUUUCAGCCGCCACCUCCAGAGCUCCGCCUGCCUGCUUGGCCAGGUCCAGUUGGCCCUGGCAGAAAGUCAUCACCCUGUCCUUGCCAGCACUCCAUCCUUGGCUAUAAGUCUUAUCUGGUCAAGCUGCUCUCUGUAUUGGACCCUCCUGUCAAGUAUCUGGACUUCUGGGCUGAUAGUCACCUUUUUUCUGUGAUGUUUCUCCCUGGUCAGUCUCAGAAUUAAUACAUUUUUCCUCUGCUAGUCCCCUCUCCUCUUCUGAAACAGCAUGGAGGUUCUGUCCACUCUAAACUCACCCAGGGUUUGGGCUGGGCUGGGCCGGAUGCCCUGCAUGCUGAUAACUCCAUGUGGCCAGCCCACGCCCUGGGUUAUUUGCCAACCUGCCUUCCAGUUUUGCACAGUGCCAUACCUCAGGUGCCUUCUCAUGCCAGCUAGUCAGAAUGGAGUGUUCUCCUAUAGGACCCAGGGAUAGGUUAGGGUUUGAAGUCCCUCACAAGGCCUCUAGGGUGUCAAGGCACAGGGCAUCUCAUGGAAGCAUUGGUGUGGGAUCAAGUCCAUCCUAAAAAAAAGUCCUAUGCUGUAUUAUACCUGCUAAGGGGCAAGGCUGGCCCCUCAAAUAAUAGGUGUCAUAGGUAAGCCUCUAGUACAGUGCCACCUGCAUGUUCUAGGUGCUCAGUAAUGUAGAAUAACAAAUACUUGAGUGGCCAGGGCAGUCUGAUUACUAAGAACAACCCAGAAGAGGCAGGUAUUUUUUUAUGAAUGAAAUAUUUCACACCCAGAGGACUUUGUUUUACCAUUGUUAAUAUAAACUGUGAAUUUAGGAUUUUUUUUUUUUUUUGAGACAGUCUUGCUCUGUCUUCCAGGCUGGAAUGCAGUGGCACGAUCUCAGCUCACUGCAAUCUCCACCUCCCGGGUUCAAGCAAUUCUCCUGACUCAGCUGGGAUUACAGGCCUGUGCUACCAUGCCCAGCUAAUUUUUGUGUUUUUUAAUAAAGAUGGGGUUUCACCAUGUUGGCCAGGCUGGUCUCAAACAUCCUGACCUCAAGUGAUCUGCCUGCCUCGGCUUCCCAAAGUGCUGGGAUUACAGGCGUGAGCCACCACCCAGCCAUUUUUUUUUUUUUUUUUUUGAGACAGAGUCUUGCUCUGUCACCCAGGCUGCAGUGUGGCAAGAUCUCACUAUCUUACUCACUGCAAACUCUGCCUUCUGGGUUCAGGCGAUUUUUAUGCCUCAGCCUCCCUAGUAGCUGGGACUACAGGCAUGCACCACCACACCUGGCUAAUUGUUUUUUUUUUUUUUUUUUUUUUUUGUAUUUUUUUGUAUUUUUUAGUAGUGAU